rnacentral:rRNA from 1 species
AGCUCCAAUAGCGUAUAUUAAAGUUGUUGCAGUUAAAAAGCUUGCAGUUGGAUUUCUGGCAGGAGCGAUCGGUCACACACUCUGUGUGUGAACUUGUGUUGUCUCUGGCCAUCCUUGGGGAGAUCCUGUUUGGCAUUAAGUUGUCGGGCAGGGGAUACCCAUCGUUUACUGUGAAAUGUUAGAGUGUUUAAAGCAGGCUUAUGCCGUUGAAUAUAUUAGCAUGGAAUAAUAAGAUAGGACUUUGGAACUAUUUUGUUGGUUUGCGUUACAAAGUAAUGAUUAAUAGUGACAGUUGGGGGUAUUCGUAUUUUGUUGCCAGAGGUGAAAUUCUUGGAUUUCCGAAAGACGAACUACUGCGAAAGUAUUUACCAAGGAUGUUUUCA